rfam:Daedalea quercina L-15889 unplaced genomic scaffold DAEQTscaffold_47, whole genome shotgun sequence.
GCCCGCCUAGCUCAAUCGGAUAGAGCGUCAGACUCUUAUCCCCCGAAUGGACAUUUCCUUCAAUUCACUAGGUGGUGCGAUCUGAAGGCUGCGAGUUCGACCCUCGCGGUGGGCU